UUAAAUAUGAAAGUAUGUGUAAGGAGCUUUAAAACUUCAUAAUAUAGAUCUGUGCCAGGCCCGUGCACCGCUCUUUUACAACGUGAGAGACGAAAAUGUAUGACUGCUGUCUGCUGAAGUGUCUGCGCUCUGGGAUUUUGAAAACUUAUACAGGUUCAUUUCAAGAUUACGUUAUCUUGCAAUUAAUGGCACACAGAGUCAGAUGGUAGGCAGCAUCAAGUAUGACAAGGGAUUACUUGUUUUUACACAUAAAGAUAAAUCACGGAAGGAUGGAAGGAAUCAAAGAGAGCCCCCUAUUUAGAAGAUGUAGUGUCGGCCACAUUUCUCUCCCUUAAUGCACCGAGAGAUCAACAACAGACUGAAGACACCACUACGGGUGACAGGAGGUCCAUGGCUCCGACAGGAAGCCCUAAUACCGGCGUCAGCAGCGCUGGUAUCGGUGCCAUUACUAACACGACAAUGACAACAUUGCACUGGCAAGGGACCUGUUGGUCGGUAUCUGCAAGUUUAUCUCUUCUUGCUCGGUCAGCUGAGACCCACCACCCGCCAAAACUGAAAUAAGCCCUCAGCCAUCCUACCCUCAUCUCAGACCUCAAGGCUCUGCCGGUCAUCGUUUGUCUAGACACUGCUUUGUUUCAGUGCUGGACGGGCAGACGUCACAUUAAAUGGUGGGAGAUCUUAAGGACCUUUAUAGACUGAUUCCAGCGACAUUUUCUUUCCAAGUUAAACACGUCGUUCUUCAUCGACGUCUUCCAACGAACAUGCCAAAGAACAUAUCUGUUCGGUCAACCGCGCGAGUGAGCGCUCACACACACACACACACACAUACACACACAUGCACGCACGCACAAGAGAGAGAGAGAGAGGCCAGUGGGGGAUCGGUUAGUGAGAGAAAAUACGAUUACAAAUAAGAAUGGGAUUGAUUAGUUCACAGCUGACAUCAGAAAAGGUGAAGUCAUAAGGACAGCCCCAUGCUAGUGGGCUUGAAAAAAAAUUGCAAAACUGGAUUAUGUACAGCAUGAAUUAACACUGAAGAUAAAAGAAAUUUGUGUAAUCUGAUAAAUGGAAGAAACCAAAUAAAAUACAUUAUAGCAGAGCAGCUAUUGAGGCGACUGGUUGUUUUUCCAUUCUAAAGGUUUUCAAAUGUAACAUUAUAUAGGAUCGGGACUGUUUAUCAGCAAUACAUAAAAAAGUUUAAAAUGAAAUGUUAUUUACCUAAACAAUUUUAUUUACAUAAAAA